rnacentral:pre_miRNA from 1 species
CAACUACUCCCUCUGUCCCAAAUUUCUUGUCUUAGAUUUGUCUAGAUACGGAUGUAUCUAAAACUAAAAUGUGACUUGAUACAUCCGUAUCUAGACAAAUCUAAGACAAGAAUUUUGGGACAGAGGGAGUACUUU